rnacentral:rRNA from 1 species
UAGGGAAUCUUCGGCAAUGGGGGCAACCCUGACCGAGCAACGCCGCGUGAGUGAAGAAGGUUUUCGGAUCGUAAAGCUCUGUUGUAAGAGAAGAACGAGUGUGAGAGUGGAAAGUUCACACUGUGACGGUAACUUACCAGAAAGGGACGGCUAACUACGUGCCAGCAGCCGCGGUAAUACGUAGGUCCCGAGCGUUAUCCGGAUUUAUUGGGCGUAAAGCGAGCGCAGGCGGUUAGAUAAGUCUGAAGUUAAAGGCCGUGGCUUAACCAUAGUACGCUUUGGAAACUGUUUAACUUGAGUGCAGAAGGGGAGAGUGGAAUUCCAUGUGUAGCGGUGAAAUGCGUAGAUAUAUGGAGGAACACCGGUGGCGAAAGCGGCUCUCUGGUCUGUAACUGACGCUGAGGCUCGAAAGCGUGGGGAGCAAACAGGAUUAGAUACCCUGGUAGUCCACGCCGUANACGAUGAGUGCUAGGUGUUGGGUCCUUUCCGGGACUCAGUGCCGCAGCUAACGCAUUAAGCACUCCGCCUGGGGAGUACGACCGCAAGGNU